CGCUUUUAGGCAGCAAAUACUACAUACGGUCUCCUGCAAUUGAACACUACGGUGUCAACUCAGUUACUUUUUCUGCUCUCUGACUUUUGCAGCAUUAAGUUGCUUCAGGUGGAAAGAUGUUGAGAAUCUUCGUUAAGUUCUUCCUGGUUGCUGUGUUGUGCAUUUGCUGGACCCAUGGACGCGUAGUUGAAGCUCAUUUGAAGAAUGCCCUUGAGAAUGUCCCAAAGCAAGACGGGGAUUGUUAUCUUGACUGCGUUGCCGCUUAUCCAUAUAGUGCAGUACCAGGGAUGGAUGGAUGGUGCAAUACUAAUUGCAAUUGGGUUCCUCCAUACUGCCCCAGAACUCACUGCAGGUGUAUCUUGAUCUGUAAUUCGGAUGUCACUCCUGUUGCAAAAUAAACUGCAAAGAGGGUCAGAAAUUUUUGACAACUGACCAUUUUAUCCAAUCAGACCUUAAGAAUUUAUCCUUAUGUCAAGUGGUUUGACAUUCUAUUCAUUCUGGAAUCUAUUCUAAAUGAGCACAUUAUUUCGGAAAUUUUCUGGUUGUUAAAUGUAUUGAAAUGUUAUGCUUUUAACCUUGUAAUUAAUUCUAAAUGAGCACAACAUUAAAAAAUUUACUAAUUUAGGAGUCUGUCAUAAAAGAUUUAUAAUGUUUGGGAAAUAAUGCACAUUGUUUUUUCAGUGAAUUGGAUUCUUUUGGAUUUUUUUUAGUUACUAAACAAAGGUUAUUAAUUAAUAAAGACUGAAUGCAGCACAAUUUCUCUGGUUUUAUUUC